UUAAGCGACUAAGCGUACACGGUGGAUGCCCUGGCAGUCAGAGGCGAUGAAGGGCGUGCUAAUCUGCGAUAAGCGCCGGUAAGGUGAUAUGAACCGUUAUAACCGGCGAUACCCGAAUGGGGAAACCCAGUGUGAUUCGUCACACUAUCAUUAACUGAAUCCAUAGGUUAAUGAGGCGAACCGGGGGAACUGAAACAUCUAAGUACCCCGAGGAAAAGAAAUCAACCGAGAUUCCCCCAGUAGCGGCGAGCGAACGGGGAGGAGCCCAGAGCCUGAAUCAGCAUGUGUGUUAGUGGAAGCGUCUGGAAAGGCGCGCGAUACAGGGUGACAGCCCCGUACACAAAAGCGCAUGUGCUGUGAGCUCGAUGAGUAGGGCGGGACACGUGGUAUCCUGUCUGAAUAUGGGGGGACCAUCCUCCAAGGCUAAAUACUCCUGACUGACCGAUAGUGAACCAGUACCGUGAGGGAAAGGCGAAAAGAACCCCGGCGAGGGGAGUGAAAAAGAACCUGAAACCGUGUACGUACAAGCAGUGGGAGCACAGGUUUACCUGUGUGACUGCGUACCUUUUGUAUAAUGGGUCAGCGACUUAUAUUCUGUAGCAAGGUUAACCGAAUAGGGGAGCCGUAGGGAAACCGAGUCUUAACCGGGCGUUAAGUUGCAGGGUAUAGACCCGAAACCCGGUGAUCUAGCCAUGGGCAGGUUGAAGGUUGGGUAACACUAACUGGAGGACCGAACCGACUAAUGUUGAAAAAUUAGCGGAUGACCUGUGGCUGGGGGUGAAAGGCCAAUCAAACCGGGAGAUAGCUGGUUCUCCCCGAAAGCUAUUUAGGUAGCGCCUCGUGAAUUCAUCUCCGGGGGUAGAGCACUGUUUCGGCUAGGGGGCCAUCCCGGCUUACCAACCCGAUGCAAACUGCGAAUACCGGAGAAUGUUAUCACGGGAGACACACGGCGGGUGCUAACGUCCGUCGUGAAGAGGGAAACAACCCAGACCGCCAGCUAAGGUCCCAAAGUCAUGGUUAAGUGGGAAACGAUGUGGGAAGGCCCAGACAGCCAGGAUGUUGGCUUAGAAGCAGCCAUCAUUUAAAGAAAGCGUAAUAGCUCACUGGUCGAGUCGGCCUGCGCGGAAGAUGUAACGGGGCUAAACCAUGCACCGAAGCUGCGGCAGCGACACUGUGUGUUGUUGGGUAGGGGAGCGUUCUGUAAGCCUGUGAAGGUGUGUCGUGAGGCAUGCUGGAGGUAUCAGAAGUGCGAAUGCUGACAUAAGUAACGAUAAAGCGGGUGAAAAGCCCGCUCGCCGGAAGACCAAGGGUUCCUGUCCAACGUUAAUCGGGGCAGGGUGAGUCGACCCCUAAGGCGAGGCCGAAAGGCGUAGUCGAUGGGAAACGGGUUAAUAUUCCCGUACUUGGUGUUACUGCGAAGGGGGGACGGAGAAGGCUAUGUUGGCCGGGCGACGGUUGUCCCGGUUUAAGCGUGUAGGUGUGUGUUCCAGGUAAAUCCGGUUCACUUUAACACUGAGGCGUGAUGACGAGGCACUACGGUGCUGAAGCAACAAAUGCCCUGCUUCCAGGAAAAGCCUCUAAGCAUCAGGUAACAUCAAAUCGUACCCCAAACCGACACAGGUGGUCAGGUAGAGAAUACCAAGGCGCUUGAGAGAACUCGGGUGAAGGAACUAGGCAAAAUGGUGCCGUAACUUCGGGAGAAGGCACGCUGACACGUAGGUGAAGUGAUUUACUCACGGAGCUGAAGUCAGUCGAAGAUACCAGCUGGCUGCAACUGUUUAUUAAAAACACAGCACUGUGCAAACACGAAAGUGGACGUAUACGGUGUGACGCCUGCCCGGUGCCGGAAGGUUAAUUGAUGGGGUCAGCGCAAGCGAAGCUCCUGAUCGAAGCCCCGGUAAACGGCGGCCGUAACUAUAACGGUCCUAAGGUAGCGAAAUUCCUUGUCGGGUAAGUUCCGACCUGCACGAAUGGCGUAAUGAUGGCCAGGCUGUCUCCACCCGAGACUCAGUGAAAUUGAACUCGCUGUGAAGAUGCAGUGUACCCGCGGCAAGACGGAAAGACCCCGUGAACCUUUACUAUAGCUUGACACUGAACAUUGAGCCUUGAUGUGUAGGAUAGGUGGGAGGCUUUGAAGCGUGGACGCCAGUCUGCGUGGAGCCGACCUUGAAAUACCACCCUUUAAUGUUUGAUGUUCUAACGUGGACCCGUAAUCCGGGUUGCGGACAGUGUCUGGUGGGUAGUUUGACUGGGGCGGUCUCCUCCUAAAGAGUAACGGAGGAGCACGAAGGUUGGCUAAUCCUGGUCGGACAUCAGGAGGUUAGUGCAAUGGCAUAAGCCAGCUUGACUGCGAGCGUGACGGCGCGAGCAGGUGCGAAAGCAGGUCAUAGUGAUCCGGUGGUUCUGAAUGGAAGGGCCAUCGCUCAACGGAUAAAAGGUACUCCGGGGAUAACAGGCUGAUACCGCCCAAGAGUUCAUAUCGACGGCGGUGUUUGGCACCUCGAUGUCGGCUCAUCACAUCCUGGGGCUGAAGUAGGUCCCAAGGGUAUGGCUGUUCGCCAUUUAAAGUGGUACGCGAGCUGGGUUUAGAACGUCGUGAGACAGUUCGGUCCCUAUCUGCCGUGGGCGCUGGAGAACUGAGGGGGGCUGCUCCUAGUACGAGAGGACCGGAGUGGACGCAUCACUGGUGUUCGGGUUGUCAUGCCAAUGGCACUGCCCGGUAGCUAAAUGCGGAAGAGAUAAGUGCUGAAAGCAUCUAAGCACGAAACUUGCCCCGAGAUGAGUUCUCCCUGAGACUUAGAGUCUCCUGAAGGAACGUUGAAGACGACGACGUUGAUAGGCCGGGUGUGUAAGCGCAGCGAUGCGUUGAGCUAACCGGUACUAAUGAACCGUGAGGCUUAACCUU
rnacentral:rRNA from 1 species